rnacentral:rRNA from 1 species
UAAGAAUAUUCCGCAAUGGACGAAAGUCUGACGGAGCGACGCCGCGUGGAUGAUGAAGGCCGAAAGGUUGUAAAGUCCUUUUGCUGGGGAAGAAUAACCAUGGGAGGGAAUGCCCGUGGGAUGACAUGAACCGGCGAAUAAGCCCCGGCCAACUACGUGCCAGCAGCCGCGGUAACACGUAGGGGGCGAGCGUUGUUCGGAAUUACUGGGCGUAAAGGGCAUGUAGGCGGUCUUGUAAGCUUGGCGUGAAAUACCACGGCUCAACCGUGGGAAUGCGUUGAGAACUGCGAGGCUUGAGUGACGGAGAGGGAGCUAGAAUUCCUGGUGUAGGGGUGGAAUCUGUAGAGAUCAGGAAGAAUACCAAUGGCGAAGGCAAGCUCCUGGCCGAUGACUGACGCUGAGGUGCGAAAGUGUGGGGAUCAAAC